rnacentral:rRNA from 1 species
AGCGAACGCUGGCGGCAGGCUUAACACAUGCAAGUCGAGCGGGCACCUUCGGGUGUCAGCGGCAGACGGGUGAGUAACACGUGGGAACGUACCCUUUGGUUCGGAACAACUCUGGGAAACUGGAGCUAAUACCGGAUACGCCCUUUUGGGGAAAGGUUUACCGCCGAAGGAUCGGCCCGCGUCUGAUUAGCUAGUUGGUGAGGUAAUGGCUCACCAAGGCGACGAUCAGUAGCUGGUCUGAGAGGAUGAUCAGCCACACUGGGACUGAGACACGGCCCAGACUCCUACGGGAGGCAGCAGGUGGGGAAUAUUGGACAAUGGGCGCAAGCCUGAUCCAGCCAUGCCGCGUGAGUGAUGAAGGCCUUAGGGUUGUAAAGCUCUUUUGUCCGGGACGAUAAUGACGGUACCGGAAGAAUAAGCCCCGGCUAACUUCGUGCCAGCCGCCGCCGUAAC